AUGCUCAGUUCACCAGCACACACACUAGAAUUGGAACCACACAGAGAAGAUUAACAGGGCCUCUGUGCAAAGACAUGUUAAUUCAUGUAGCAUUCCAUAUUUUU